GAUGAACGCUGGCGGCGUGCCUAAUACAUGCAAGUCGAGCGAACAGACGAGGAGCUUGCUCCUCUGACGUUAGCGGCGGACGGGUGAGUAACACGUGGAUAACCUACCUAUAAGACUGGGAUAACUUCGGGAAACCGGUGCUACUACCGGAUAAUAUAUUGAACCGCAUGGUUCAAUAGUGAAAGACGGUUUUGCUGUCACUUAUAGAUGGAUCCGCGCCGCAUUAGCUAGUUGGUAAGGUAACGGCUUACCAAGGCAACGAUGCGUAGCCGACCUGAGAGGGUGAUCGGCCACACUGGAACUGAGACACGGUCCAGACUCCUACGGGAGGCAGCAGUAGGGAAUCUUCCGCAAUGGGCGAAAGCCUGACGGAGCAACGCCGCGUGAGUGAUGAAGGUCUUCGGAUCGUAAAACUCUGUUAUUAGGAAAGAACAAAUGUGUAAGUAACUAUGCACGUCUUGACGGUACCUAAUCAGAAAGCCACGGCUAACUACGUG
rnacentral:rRNA from 1 species